rnacentral:rRNA from 1 species
UACGGGGGGGGCAAGCGUUGUUCGGAGUUACUGGGCGUAAAGGGCUCGUAGGCGGCCAACUAAGUCAGACGUGAAAUCCCUCGGCUUAACCGGGGAACUGCGUCUGAUACUGGAUGGCUGGAGGUUGGGAGAGGGAUGCGGAAUUCCAGGUGUAGCGGUGAAAUGCGUAGAUAUCUGGAGGAACACCGGUGGCGAAGGCGGCAUCCUGGACCAAUUCUGACGCUGAGGAGCGAAAGCCAGGGGAGCAAACGGG